rnacentral:ncRNA from 1 species
UGGUUCAUACCCAUGAUUAAAAGGGAACCGGGUUAGAGUCCCGGACAGUCCCGCUGCUGUGUUCGGCAUUAUGCUACAGAAACUUAAGUCACUGGAUGUUCUUCGGGAAGACUUCUGUAAGCUGCCGUCAGUCAGAAGACCUGCCGCUGCCUUA